ACGGUCAUGCACAAUGGUUAGGGAUCUCGGCUAAACACAGGGGGGUUACGGGUUCGAUUCCCAUUUGCGGGG
rnacentral:tRNA from 1 species